rnacentral:rRNA from 1 species
ACGGAGGAUGCAAGCGUUGUCCGGAAUCAUUGGGCUUAAAGGGCGCGUAGGCGGUUUGGUAAGUCAGAGGUGAAAACUUAAGGCUCAACUUCAAGCCUGCAUCUGAAACUACAUCACUUGAGGGCAGGAGAGGAAAGUGGAAUUCCAUGUGUAGCGGUGAAAUGCGUAGAUAUAUGGCAGAACACCAGUGGCGAAGGCGGCUUUCUGGACUGAACCUGACGCUGAGGCGCGAAAGCCAGGGGAGCGAACAG